rnacentral:lncRNA from 1 species
AAGUACUAUACUUCCGGCGAUCUGUACUUGUUUGAUGAAUUCCAAACUGACCGCACUCCAAAUACAAGGCGGCCGAAGAUUGAUAACUUGUAUGAUGUGUUCUAUAAUAUCCGAGAAGAUGAAGCGGAACACUGCAAGACCAUGUUAGCUUGUCAGACACGAGGAAACUUACGUUCCCCUCACAAUGCAAUGCAAUACGAUGCUUCAGCCUCCUCGUCUAUUAGUGUGCCACCAAUUACAGAAGAUUUAGAGGGAAAAUUGGGGAUUGUGAAGGAUUUACCUCCUGCAGAGUGUGCAGGUAUCAUAGAGUGCGCAUUAACUUCGAGUUCCUUUGUGGAACGAGCACGAAAAAAUGGUGUCGAAGUUAACCUUGAUCAUCUUCCCCGAUGAUUGUAGUUUACCGUAUUCAUGUAGGCCUCAUACGGCGUAAGAUCUUCAGCCUUCACCUAGUUUACAAUUUCAACAAAUUGUUUAGUACUUUGUUUAUAAAUCAUAUUGUUUCAAUGUGCUGGCCACAGCGAACAAGUUGUUUCUCUAUCCUGGGUUUUGUGCUCACGUGUAUCUGACUGUUGGCCUCAUGUAUCUCGUGACUAUCAUCUGUUAGAGGAUUAUAAAGGUGUUCGUGUUUUCUCCCCAAAUCCAUCUGAUAUUCGAUGUUAUUCCAAUUCAUAACCGAUGAACACAGUUAAUUCCCUGAGUAAUUGUUUCUUCGAUUCUGAACAUCGCUGUUACUUGCAUCAUUUGGAAGGACCAAAUUCCAUUAGAUGCUCCUUCGUGUGACAUCGAAUUCAUUAAAAUACGG